rnacentral:rRNA from 1 species
UGGGACACGUGGAAUUGUCACUACUUAUGGACCCGAACCUAGGUGAUCUAUCCAUGACCAGGAUAAAGCUUAGGUAAAAUUAAGUGGAGGUCCGAACAGACUGAUGUUGAGGAAUUAGCAGAUGAGCUGUGGUUAGAAGUGAAAUGUCUAGUUCUCCUUGAAAUGCGUUGAGGCACAACAAUUGAAUGGACAUCUACGGGUAUAACAUUGUGUUGGUGCGGGCCAUGAGAGUGGUACCAAAUCGAGACAAACUCUGAAUACUAGAUAUGACCUCAAAAUAAUAGUGGUCAAGGUCGACCAGUGAGAUGAUGGUGGAUAAGCUUUAUCGUCGAGAGGGAAACAACCCAGAUUACCAGCACAGGCUCCUAAAUUAUUCCUCAGUGAUAAGGUACAAAGACUGCCAGAAGUUUGCCUAGAAAUAGCGACCCCUGGAAGAGUGCAUAAUACUUCACUGAUCGAAUGGCUCUUGCGCCGAAGACGAACGAGGCUAAGCGAUCUACCGAAGGUAUAGGAUGUAAAAAUACAUCGGUUAGGAGAGCGUUCCGCCUUAGAAGGAAGCUCCCGUGCAAGCAGUGAUGGACGCAAAAAUUUGUGAAAAUCCA